rnacentral:rRNA from 1 species
AGUGAACGCUGGCGGUAGGCCUAACACAUGCAAGUCGAACGGCAGCACAGUAAGAGCUUGCUCUUACGGGUGGCGAGUGGCGGACGGGUGAGGAAUACAUCGGAAUCUACUUUUUCGUGGGGGAUAACGUAGGGAAACUUACGCUAAUACCGCAUACGACCUACGGGUGAAAGCAGGGGAUCUUCGGACCUUGCGCGAUUGAAUGAGCCGAUGUCGGAUUAGCUAGUUGGCGGGGUAAAGGCCCACCAAGGCGACGAUCCGUAGCUGGUCUGAGAGGAUGAUCAGCCACACUGGAACUGAGACACGGUCCAGACUCCUACGGGAGGCAGCAGUGGGGAAUAUUGGUCAAUGGGCGCAAGCCUGAUCCAGCCACACCGCGUGGGUGAAGAAGGCCUUCGGGUUGUAAAGCCCUUUUGUUGGGAAAGAAAAGCAGCAGGUUAAUACCCCGCUGUUCUGACGGUACCCAAAGAAUAAGCACCGGCUAACUUCGUG